UUAGCCCUAAACAUAAAAAAUUAUAAACAAAAUUAUUCGCCAGAGUACUACUAGCAAUAGCUUAAAACUCAAAGGACUUGGCGGUGCCUUACAUCCCUCUAGAGGAGCCUGUUCUGUAAUCGAUAAACCCCGAUCUACCUCACCAAUCUUUGCUAAAUCAGCCUAUAUACCGCCAUCUUCAGCAAACCCUAAAAAGGAGCCAAAGUAAGCAUAAGUAUUAACAUAAAAACGUUAGGUCAAGGUGUAGCCUAUAGAUUGGAAAGAAAUGGGCUACAUUUCCCAAGUUCUGGGAAAUAAAUUUUAUACGAAAACCUAUGUGAAACCAAAAGUUAAAGGUGGAUUUAGUAGUAAAUUAAGAAUAGAGAGCUUAAUUGAACGUGGCCAUAAGGCACGCACAACACCGCCCCGUCACCCUCUGCAGUCAA
rnacentral:rRNA from 1 species